AUAAAAAUAAAUAAAUAAAGAAGAAAGAAUUAAAAAAAAACUUUUUUUUACCACACCUUGGUGGAAGUUGCCACCUCCACGGAGCCUUGGCUCAAGUGUAUGUGGGGCAUGAUGCACCUAACUUCUAACUCCAGCCAUCAUGUAACACAGUCGAGCUCUGGCAGCAGGGAGAGAUUCAUCUGUAAAUUGCUGGUGUCAACAUCAUAAUUCUUUUGCACUGGCGUCGCCUGGUGGAGGAGCCAGAUCUCGCUGUGGUUGGGUCUCCUUGUGGUUUCCGCUGGGCUGGGCAGAGUGCCGCAGGAACAACGAACCCCGUCUAGCUUUGACUCUUCUGGGGCGCAGUGCAUCCUGCGUCUCUCCUGAAAUGGGCUGUGAGAGGUUUACCCUGAAGGUUGGCAAAUCAGACUUACACACGCCUUGCCCUCCCUUAGCCAAUGGCUUGCUCAGACCGCAUAUAUUACCCUGUGUGGUUCCAUUUCAGCAAGGUGAUCGAUCCAAACUUAGCCUUAGUCUUCCUUGACCCUGCCAGAAAACCAAGCGCAUACACCUGGCUCUGAGAACUCACCACGUCCUAGGCUCUUCUGAAAGGAGGAAGAUGUUCAGGUGACUGGAUAAAGGCAGAUUGGAUACAGUGGACCUCUAAAGCAGAACUUGACAAAGGGCUAGCCUAACACCUCGCAGAUGCCCUGUGGAUACAGUGGUGGGCGUGGGGCAGGAAGCCAAUGACCUUCGCCUCUUCAGCAUUGCCCACAAAAAGCAGCAGAUGCUCCCUCAGCCUGGAGUGAGGACAUCAUGGAUCAUGGGUGUCAGCCAACCCGCAGCAUGUGGAACCAGCAGGACAUAAACCUUCCCUGUUUGAAGCCACUGCCAACCUUUCCUGAUGACAUGGAGACAGGUUUUCCCUUGCUGGAAAUGAUGAGGACACAUUUGGAAACCCAGACGCUAGGAAAGAAACUUGAACUAAUGUUAACAAAGGCUGUGCUGUCAUCCAAGGUUUGCUGUCUCUGAAGAGGAGAGGAACCAGUCUCUGUUCUUGAAAAAAAGACAAUAAGCAAACUGUGCUUACUAAUAACUUCUACAUUAGGUUCUCUAUUAGUAGUAUCCCCCAAACCCACCAGCCAUGCAGAGGUAGAAAACAGUUUUGAAGUGUGGAAUUUAACAUGCUGUAUCUACCAUGUGACAUUCUAAUUUAAGUGAUGCUCUGUUGAAUUUUCCCCAGCCCAUAAAUAUAAAGCCAUAAGAAUAAAC